GGAGGGUGCAAGCGUUGUUCGGAAUUAUUGGGCGUAAAGCGCGUGUAGGCGGCUUGGCAAGUCGGGUGUGAAAUCCCGGGGCCCAACCCCGGAACUGCAUUCGAAACUGCCUCGCUAGAGUCCCGGAGAGGAGAGCGGAAUUCCCGGUGUAGAGGUGAAAUUCGUAGAUAUCGGGAGGAACACCAGCGGCGAAGGCGGCUCUCUGGACGGUGACUGACGCUGAGACGCGAAAGCGUGGGGAGCAAACAGGAUUAGAUACCCUGGUAGUCCACGCCGUAAACGUUGGGUGCUAGGUGUCGCGGGUAUUGACCCCCCUGCGGUGCCGUCGCUAACGCAUUAAGCACCCCGCCUGGGGAGUACGGUCGCAAGGCUA
rnacentral:rRNA from 1 species